GAUGAACGCUGGCGGUAUGCCUAACACAUGCAAGUCGUACGAGAGUUUUUAACUCUAGUGGCGGACGGGUGAGUAACACGUAAGAAUUUGCCUUUAGGAGGGGGAUAACAACUGGAAACGGUUGCUAAUACCCCAUAUGCUUUCGAGUGAAAUGGUUUUUCCGCCUAAAGAGAAGCUUGCGGCUGAUUAGCUUGUUGGUGAGGUAAUAGCUCACCAAGGCGACGAUCAGUAUCUGGUUUGAGAGGACGAUCAGACACACUGGAACUGAGACACGGUCCAGACUCCUACGGGAGGCAGCAGUAGGGAAUUUUCCGCAAUGGGCGAAAGCCUGACGGAGCAAUACCGCGUGAGGGAUGACGGCCUAUGGGUUGUAAACCUCUUUUUUCAGGGAGGAAUA
rnacentral:rRNA from 1 species